GGUAUCGAGGGAAGUCUACCCUGCCCAGUGAUAUUAUUCUUUAACGGCCGCAGUACCUUGACUGUGCUAAGGUAGCGUAAUCAGUUGACUUUUAAAUGGAGUCAGGAAUGAAUGGGUUUUCGGGGAGAAGCUGUCUUGAGAUUAUUUUAUUGAAUUUCCUAAUGGGGUGAAAAUUCCCCAAUUAAUGAAAAUAGACGAGAAGACCCUUAGAGUCUUAACGAAAGGAUUAUAUUAAUAUCUUACAGUUUUUGUUGGGGCGACAAAGAGGCAAGUAGUAACCCUCUUUAAAUAAUAUUUUACAUGCCGAAGUUUUUAUGUAAGUAAAGACUACCUGAGGGAUAACAGCAUAAUUCUUUUUUGAGUUUGUGACCUCGAUGUUGGACUAGGAACCUUAUGGCUAGCAGCUUUAAAGUA
rnacentral:rRNA from 1 species